rnacentral:rRNA from 1 species
UCUCACUUUGCUCUCGCUACUCAUGCCGGCAUGAGUAGCGAGAGCAAAGUGAGAAUCUUUGCCGUCGAAAGCCUAAGGUUUCCUGAGGAAGGCUCGUCCUCUCAGGGUAAGUCGGGACCUAAGCCGAGGACAACAGUCGUAGGCGAUGGAUAACAGGUUGAUAUUCCUGUACCGUACUUAAGCGUUUGACUGAAGCAGUGACACAGAAGGAUAGACAGACCGAGUGAAUGGAAGAACUCGGCCAAGCAGUGAGGCUGACAUGUAGUGAAGUACGCAUGUUAAGGCUGGGCUGUGAUGGGGACUGAAGAUUAGUAGGGAAGCUGUUGAAUUCACACUGGCGAGAAAAGCUGCUAAGGAGCGAGAGUAUGCCCGUACCGCAAACCGACACAGGUAGGCGAGGAGAGAAUCCUAAGACGAGCGGGAGAACCCUUGUUAAGGAACUCGGCAAAAUGACUCCGUAACUUAGGGAGAAGGAGUGCCUCGAGAGAGGCCGCAGAGAAUAGGCCCAAGCGACUGUUUACCAAAAACACAGGUCUGUGCGAAGUAGAGAUACGACGUAUACGGGCUGACGCCUGCCCAGUGCCGGAAGGUUAAGGGGAAGUGUUAGGGCAACCGAAGCACGGAACUUAAGCCCCGGUGAACGGCGGCCGUAACUAUAACGGUCCUAAGGUAGCGAAAUUCCUUGUCGGGUAAGUUCCGACCCGCACGAAUGGCGUAACGACUUGGGCACUGUCUCAACAAGGGACCCGGCGAAAUUGUAGUAUGUGUGAAGAUGCACAUUACCCGCGAUAGGACGGAGAGACCCCGUAGAGCUUUACUGUAGUUUAACAUUGGAUUUUGAUAACACAUGUACAGGAUAGGUGGGAGGCUGAGAAACCGGCACGCCAGUGCCGAUGGAGCCGCUGUUGGGAUACCACUCUUGUGUUAUUGGAGUUCUAACGAAGUGCCGUAAACCGGGCUUCGGACAGUGUUAGAUGGGCAGUUUGACUGGGGCGGUCGCCUCCGAAAGAGUAACGGAGGCGUCCAAAGGUUCCCUCAGAAUGGUUGGAAACCAUUCACAGAGUGCAAAGGCAGAAGGGAGCUUGACUGCGAGACCGACAGGUCGAGCAGGUACGAAAGUAGGGCUUAGUGAUCCGGCGGUAUGAGAGUGGAAUUGCCGUCGCUCAACGGAUAAAAGCUACCUCGGGGAUAACAGGCUGAUCUCCCCCAAGAGUUCACAUCGACGGGGAGGUUUGGCACCUCGAUGUCGGCUCAUCGCAUCCUGGAGCGGAAGUACGUUCCAAGGGUUGGGCUGUUCGCCCAUUAAAGCGGUACGCGAGCUGGGUUCAGAACGU